rnacentral:rRNA from 1 species
CACUGACAUUAGAUACCCGUGUAGUCCCAGCCGUAAACUAUGCGCGUUAGGUGUAUCGGUGACCACGAGUUACCGAGGUGCCGAAGGGAAACCGUGAAACGUGCCGCCUGGGAAGUACGGUCGCAAGGCUGAAACUUAAAGGAAUUGGCGGGGAGCACCACAACAGGUGGAGCCUGCGGUUUAAUUGGACUCAACGCCGGGAAGCUCACCGGAUAGGACAGCAGAAUGAUUGCCGGGCUGAAGACCCUGCAUGACUAGCUG